UAAAUGGCUGUUGUAUCUCUUAAGAAUUCA
rnacentral:piRNA from 1 species